CUUAGCUCAGUUGGUUAGAGCUACGGACUUUUAAUCCGCAGGUCGAGGGUUCGAGUCCCUCAG
rnacentral:tRNA from 1 species